UCCCUUGUGGCUCAGCUGGUAAAGAAUCUGGCUGCAAGCCAGGAGACCUGGGUUCAAUCCCUAGAUUGGGAA
rnacentral:tRNA from 1 species